AAGAGGACGGACAUAUGAUUGAUCGAGUUAAGAUUUUGCUAUUUAUCAUUUUUGUAAUGUAACGACUAUGAAAUAGUAAUUUAGUGUAUAACGCCAUUGCUAAGAUCUUUUCUCUAAUUAACAUUUUAUUGUAUGAAGAUAAUAACACAAUUCUUUCUUGUUAUAAAAAUGAAUGAGUUAGCUUGGCCCAUUACACACAAACACAACAAACAAGUUGUAGUUGGUCCCAAUUUUUUUUUUGUUUUUUUUUUGGGUUAAAGAUUGGUCCCAAAUAGUUUUUUUUAUUUUUAUUUUUAAGAUUGGUCCCAAAUAUUUAUGUGUAAUUGAUUUGGAAAAUGACAUAACGUAGCGGCCUUAAUACGUGUCCAUGGGUCGCUGGUGUGCAUGGAUCACAACAACAACAUAAACGUGCGAGCUUUUCUACUCACUUUUCUUAAUAACGUAACACUCUUUGCUUCUUAUAGAUAAGACUCACGAAAAUGGAUUUCUUAGGCUCAUUUGGCUAAGGAUGGACUGAGAAGG
rnacentral:lncRNA from 1 species